rnacentral:ncRNA from 1 species
CAAAGGCCUGGUCCUGGCUUUAUUGUCAGCUAGAACUAUAUUUAUACAUGCAAGUCUCCGCGACCCUGUGCGAAUGCCCUUUACCCUCCCUUGGAGGAGAGGAGCUGGUAUCAGGCGCGCAACACGCAGCCCACAACGCCUUGCUUAGCCACACCCCCAAGGGUACUCAGCAGUGAUAAAUUUUAAGCCAUAAGCGAAAGCUUGACUUAGUUCCGGUUUUUAGGGUCGGUAAAACUCGUGCCAGCCACCGCGGUUAUACGAGAGACUCAAGUUGACACCCGCGGCGUAAAGAGUGGUUAGGGGCAAGACAACUAAAGCCGAACAUCCCCCAAGCCGUUGCACGCUUACGGAGGAAUGAAGCCCCCUUACGAAAGUAGCUUUACGCCACCCGAACCCACGAUAGCUAGGAGACAAACUGGGAUUAGUAAACCCACUAUGCCUAGUCGUAAACCUCGACACUCAUAUACAGCGAGCGUCCGCCAGGGAAUUACAAGCACCAGCUUAAAACUCAAAGGACUUGGCGGUACCUCAAACCCCCCUAGAGGAGCCUGUUCUUAAACCGAUAAUCCCCGUUCAACCUCACCACCUCUCGUUUUCCAGUCUAUAUACCGCCGUCGCAAACUUACCCUGUGAGGGAAUCAUAGUAAGUAAAAAGGGCACAGCCCAGAACGUCAGGUCGAGGUGCAGCAUACGAGGUGGGAAGAAAUGGGCUACAUUCCCCAACCUAGGGAACUACGAAUGCUGCCAUGAAAUUGGUGUUCUGAAGGAGGAUUUAGCAGUAAGAAAAGACCAGGACACUCUUCUGAAGCAGGAUAUGAGGUGCGUACACACCGCCCGUCACCCUCCGCUAGUUCACGCGACUCUUGUAUAUACUAGACAGCAAGACAAAGCAGAGGCAAGUCGUAACAUGGUAAGUGUACUGGAAAGUGUACUUGGGAUAA